AUUUUCAUUUUAAAAGUGUAUUCAUUCCUUCUGCAAAUCCAUACUGUCAUGCCUAUUCCCCAAUAUCGCCAACGCGGAUAGUUCGUUAGUCGAAAAUACUGAAUAAUUAAACAAACCAAAUGGCAUCACUGGUGGUUCUUUUUUCCACUCCGCUAAACUGUCAUCUCAAACAAAAACAAAUGGAUCAUACAACUGCUAUGAAUACAUUCGACUCGUUUGCUUCCAUCAAUCGGUAAGUGAGAAAGAUGAUUUCUCCCAUCACCACAAUGCGGAUUUCCACUUCUAUCACAGCAGCCAACAACAUCCGUUUUCCUGCAGCAGUAACCUCCAACCCCUGUUGGCAAUGCCGGGGGACAGCAUUAACAGCAGCAGCAGCAGAAUUUGACCAUGGUAUGGUAUUGCGAAGAACUUUCCCCAUUAGAGGUUCCGUGCUUCGCGCACAUUCAAAAAUCCUCUUCAGACACGAAAACUCAACGACAAGGAGGUAUUUAUCAACUUGCUCAGCUGAAUUGCCACCCGGAGGAACCCGAAUGCACUGAUUCCGUUGUAUAGUAGAAUGAAAAUAGGCGAGGUAAGCGAACGUAAUCGCAUGAUAUUUUAAUGUUCGCAUUUUUAUCCGGAUCAUACAACUGCUAUGAAUACAUCCGACUCAAUCAAUCGGCGAAUGAGAAAGAUGAUUUCCCUCAUCACCACAUUGCUUAUUUCCACUUCUGUCACACCAGCCAACAGCAUCAGCUUUCCCGCAGCAGUAUCCUUUAAGUCCAGGGUGCUAUUCCGGGGAACAGCAUCAACAGCAACAGCAGCAGGACCUGGCCAUCGAUAGUAUUUCGAGCAAUUUUCCCCAUCGGAGAUCCCGUGCUUCACGCACAUUGAAGAAUCCUCCUCAGCCACAUAUCUGUGUCAUCAAGGGCAAGGAGGUAUUCAUCAAUGUACUCAGUCGGAUUUGAAUCGUCAAUCCAGACAACCCGGAUGCACCGAUUCCAUUAUAUACCUUAUUUUUAUUAUAAAUGGAUUUUUAUAAUUUUUUUUCAAUAAAAUGAUUAAAAUCGA